rnacentral:rRNA from 1 species
ACGGGAGGCAGCAGUGGGGAAUAUUGGGCAAUGGGCGAAAGCCUGACCCAGCAACGCCGCGUGAAGGAAGAAGGUCUUCGGAUUGUAAACUUCUUUUAUGAGGGACGAAGGACGUGACGGUACCUCAUGAAUAAGCCACGGCUAACUACGUGCCAGCAGCCGCGGUAAUACGUAGGUGGCAAGCGUUAUCCGGAUUUACUGGGUGUAAAGGGCGCGUAGGCGGGGAGACAAGUCAGGUGUGAAAUCCAUGGGCUCAACUCAUGAACUGCAUUUGAAACUGUUGAUCUUGAGUAUCGGAGAGGUAAUCGGAAUUCCUAGUGUAGCGGUGAAAUGCGUAGAUAUUAGGAAGUACACCAGUGGCGAAGGCGGAUUACUGGACGACAACUGACGGUGAGGCGCGAAAGCGUGGGGAGCAAACAGGAUUAGAUACCCUGGUA